rnacentral:lncRNA from 1 species
GGCGUGGCCACAACGACCUCUCAGAUAAAGCAAGCCGGCAGCGGAGAGGCGAAUUAACUCACCUAAGUCUUGCGGGUUGGGUUCCCUGGGAAGGAGACUCUAAGGCAGAGAUGGGGAAACUGACGCAGAGAGAAGCUGAGUAACUUGUCCAGUUACUAAGAGGCUGUGCCCAGAUGUGAGCUCCUGGAGACACACACUUGAGACUUUGGAGUCCUGAGCCACCAUCUAGGAUGUCUGGUUAUCCUGAAGCCACCAUGCUGGAAUGUCCAUGUGAACAGACCAUGUAGAAACAGAGAGACAGAGAGAUGCCCAACAUGCCCCAGCUGUUCCAGCCCCCAGCUGGCUGAGUCGUCCCAGCCCAGCUGCCUGUCGUGUGAGUGCAGAAGACUUUGAGAUGAUGCCUCCUCCACCCACCAUCUGCCUGCAACGGCAUGAGAGGCCCCAAGCCAGGCCCUCUCAGCCGGGCUGGCUCCCCAGUUCCUGAGCCACAGAAACCCUGAGAGAUAAUAAAUGAUUAUUGUUGUUUGAAGGCACCAAGUUUUGGGGUGAUUUAUGCUGCUGCAAUAGAUGACUACUAUACCCCC